rnacentral:lncRNA from 1 species
ACCCCUAUAGAGUUCCAAGGAGGCUGAUCCCCUAAAGAGAUCAACUCUAAGUUUAGAAUCUACAAGGGUUCUAACACCUGGUAUCAGAGCAGCGUUCUUGGCAUCUCGCUGCCCUUCCAUAGCCAUCCAUCAGCCCUCCACAGCCGCCCAAAGCAAUUCCCACAAUUGCUUAAAAGAUCAUCACCAAAUUCCGCCAUCAUCUCCACCC